rnacentral:rRNA from 1 species
AGAACCUGAAACCGGAUGCAUACAAACAGUGGGAGCGGACUUGUUCCGUGACUGCGUACCUUUUGUAUAAUGGGUCAGCGACUUACGUUCAGUAGCAAGCUUAACCGAAUAGGGGAGGCGUAGGGAAACCGAGUCCGAAUAGGGCGUCUUAGUUGCUGGGCGUAGACCCGAAACCGAGUGAUCUAUCCAUGGCCAGGAUGAAGGUGCGGUAACACGCACUGGAGGUCCGAACCCACUAGUGUUGCAAAACUAGGGGAUGAGCUGUGGAUAGGGGUGAAAGGCUAAACAAACUCGGA